AUUGAACGCUGGCGGCAGGCCUAACACAUGCAAGUCGAGCGAGCGUCGGACGGGUGAGUAAUGUCUGGAAAACUGCCUGAUGGAGGGGGAUAACUACUGGAAACGGUGGCUAAUAACACAUACCAUCAGAUGUGCACAGAUGGGAGUAGCUAGUAGGUGGGGUAAUGGCGCACCUAGGCGACGAUCCCUAGCUGGUCUGAGAGGAUGACCAGCCACACGGGAACUGAGCACCGGCCCAGAUUCUUACGGAAGGCAGCAGUGGGGAACAUUGCACAAGGGGCGCAAGCCUGCUGCAGACAGGCCGCGUGGGUGAAGCAGGCCUUCGGGUGGUAAACUACGUUCAGCGGGGAGGCGUUACCCGCAGAAGAAGCAACGGCUAACUCCGUGCCAGCAGCCGCGGUAAUAC
rnacentral:rRNA from 1 species